AGAGUUUGAUCCUGGCGUCAGGACGAACGCUGGCGGCGUGCUUAACACAUGCAAGUCGAACGGAGUACCCUCGAAAGAGAUUUCGGUCAAUGGAGAGGACUACUUAGUGGCGGACGGGUGAGUAACGCGUGAGGAACCUGCCUUUCAGAGGGGGACAACAGUUGGAAACGACUGCUAAUACCGCAUAACGUACGGGUAUCGCAUGGUACUGGUACCAAAGAUUUAUCGCUGAGAGAUGGCCUCGCGUCUGAUUAGCUAGUUGGUAGGGUAACGGCCUACCAAGGCGACGAUCAGUAGCCGGACUGAGAGGUUGGCCGGCCACAUUGGGACUGAGAUACGGCCCAGACUCCUACGGGAGGCAGCAGUGGGGAAUAUUGGGCAAUGGGCGCAAGCCUGACCCAGCAACGCCGCGUGAAGGAAGAAGGCUUUCGGGUUGUAAACUUCUUUUGACAGGGAAGAGCAGAAGACGGUACUUGUCGAAUAAGCCACGGCUAACUACGUG
rnacentral:rRNA from 1 species